AUUGAACGCUGGCGGCAUGCCUUACACAUGCAAGUCGAACGGCAGCACGGGUGCUUGCACCUGGUGGCGAGUGGCGAACGGGUGAGUAAUACAUCGGAACAUGUCCUGUAGUGGGGGAUAGCCCGGCGAAAGCCGGAUUAAUACCGCAUACGAUCCACGGAUGAAAGCGGGGGACCUUCGGGCCUCGCGCUAUAGGGUUGGCCGAUGGCUGAUUAGCUAGCUGGUGGGGUAAAGGCCUACCAAGGCGACGAUCAGUAGCUGGUCUGAGAGGACGACCAGCCACACUGGGACUGAGACACGGCCCAGACUCCUACGGGAGGCAGCAGUGUGGAAUUUUGGACAAUGGGCGAAAGCCUGAUCCAGCAAUGCCGCGUGUGUGAAGAAGGCCUUCGGGUUGUAAAGCACUUUUGUCCGGAAAGAAAUCCUUGACUCUAAUACAGUCGGGGGAUGACGGUACCGGAAGAAUAAGCACCGGCUAACUACGUG
rnacentral:rRNA from 1 species